rnacentral:rRNA from 1 species
UUCUUUUAGAGAGGAAUACAAGCAGGCUCUGCUCAAUGAUAAAUUAAAUAGCUACAUAAUUUGUACUACGGCAGCAUUGUCACUUGUCCAUUAGAUGUGGUCUUGUAUGAAAGAAUAAAUAAUCAGUUUCUCCAUUUGUAACAAUUUCUUAAUUUAAAUUUUUGGUUAAAAUACCAAAAUAUUUUAUAGGGACAAGAAGACCCUAUAAAGCUUUUAAUACCAAUUAUAAAAUUUAUUAUAUUUAAUUUUUAAUUGGGUUAAUUAUUUAUGAAGGGAAUAUAAGUCCCAAUAUAUUAUUUUGAGAAGGAUCCUAUAAUAUAGAAUAUUGAAUAAGUUACUUUAGGGAUAACAGUAUAAUUUUUAUUUAUAAGUUCAAAUCUACAAUAAAGAUUGUAACCUCGAUGUUGAAUUAAUUUUAUUAUAUGGAGAAGGAUCUAUAUUAUAAUUUGACUG